UACGUAGGGGGCAAGCGUUGUCCGGAUUUAUUGGGCGUAAAGAGCGUGUGAGCGGCUUGGUAGGUCUGCUGUGAAAACUCGGGGCUCGAACCCCGAGACGUCGGUGGAAACCACCUGGCUAGAGUCCGGAAGAGGAGAGUGGAAUUCCUGGUGUAGCGGGUGAAAUGCGCAGAUAUCAGGAAGAAUAUCCGUGGCGAAGGCGGCUCUCUGGUACGGCACUGACGCUGAGACGCGAAAGCGUGGGGAGCGAACAGG
rnacentral:rRNA from 1 species